GAUGAACGCUGGCGGCGUGCCUAAUACAUGCAAGUCGAGCGAACAGACGAGGAGCUUGCUCCUCUGACGUUAGCGGCGGACGGGUGAGUAGCACGUGGAUAACCUACCUAUAAUACUGGGAUAACUUCGGGAAACCGGAGCUAAUACCGGAUAAUCUAUUGAACCGCAUGGUUCAAUAGUGAAAGACGGUUUUGCUGUCACUUAUAGCUGGAUCCGCGCCGCAUUAGCUAGUUGGUAAGGUAACGGCUUACCAAGGCGACGAUGCGUAGCCGACCUGAGAGAGUGAUCGGCCACACUGGAACUGAGACACGGUCAAGACUACUACGGGAGGCAGCAGUAGGGAAUCUUCCGCAAUGGGCGAAAGCCUGACGGAGCAACGCCGCGUGAGUGAUGAAGGUCUUCGGAUCGUAAAACUCUGUUAUUAGGGAAGAACAAAUGUGUAAGUAACUAUGCACGUCUUGACGGUACCUAAUCAGAAAGCCACGGCUAACUACGUG
rnacentral:rRNA from 1 species